CCCUCGGAGAGUUAUACCAAAGGAAAGUAGAUUACUAUUUAUAGUUUUCAAAAUCUGACUCGUAGAACAGGGAA
rfam:Toxocara canis scaffold3446, whole genome shotgun sequence.